AGGGACAGCUUAAUGAAGACAAGCUGAAGGGCAAACUAAGAUCCCUAGAAAACCAGCUCUACACCUGCCUGCAGAAACACUCCCCCUGGGGAAUGAAAAAGGUGCUGCUGGAGAUGGAAGACCAGAGAAGCAGCUAUGAGCAGAAGGCUAAGGCGUCACUGCAGAAAGUGCUGGAGGAGAAAAUGUGUGCAGAGCAGCAGCUACAGAGGGCACAGGUGGAGAUGCUGUGCAGUUCCAGGGGCUGGGGCCCUGGGAGCAGUCCCCCAGAGCAAGAGGGCUAACCACCACUUGCAGGGAGCCUGCUCCUCAAAUUCAUCCCGCAUAUUAAACUUCAGGAGUUCAAUGUGUUCCCUUUCUCUAAGCUUCUGCUCCUUGGGAACCUUCUCUCCUCUGGUCUCUCCCAGCUGUCCCUGGCUUUGGCAGAGCAGAAGUGUC
rnacentral:lncRNA from 1 species